ensembl:snRNA U6 U6 spliceosomal RNA
GUGCUCGCUUCGGCAGCACAUAUACUAAAAUUGGAACGACACAGAGAAGAUUAGCAUGGCCCCUGCGCAAGAAUGACAUGCAAAUUCGUGAAGCGUUCCAUAUUUAA